GACUGUAUACUCACUGGAAAGGCUGGCGUCCAUGAAGGCAGCGUCCGCCCACUUCAAAGCCUGCGCCUCUCCUCCAUGAUGGGAAGGCACGUCCCGCAGUGAAGACGCGCGGUCCAGACUGGAGGAGGAGGAGGAGGAUGCACGCGCUCCGGUCCACCCCUCCUGGACCCUCCAUUGGCUGACGAUGAUGACAGCAAAGCCCCCACCCUCUGAUGCUGGCCGGCGGCUGAGGACCGUGAGGAGGCUUCAACUCUUCUGGGAAGGCUGUCCACAAGGUUGCGGAGUGCGUUUAAAGGAAUUUUCCACCAUUCUUCCAAAAGCGCAUUGGUGUUCUAUCGGGUUCGGGUCAGGACUCUGUGCAGGCCAGUCAAGUUCAUCCACACCAGACUCUGUCAUCCAUGUCUUUAUGGACCUUGCUUUGUGCACAGGUGUACAGUCAUGUUGGAAGAGGAAGGAGCCCGCUCCAAACUGUUCCCACAAAGUUGGGAGCAUGGAAUUGUCCAAAAUGUUUUGGUAUCCUGGAACAUUCAAAAUUCAUUUCACUGGAACUAAGGGGCCAAGCCCAACUCCUGAAAAACAACCCCCGCACCAUAAUUCCAUAAUGACCCCUCUCUGUCAGUUUACGUGUCCUACCACUUGGUGGCUGAGUUGCUGUUGUUCCCAAACUCUUCCUUUUUCUUAUAAUAAAGCCGACAGUUGACUUUGGAAUAUUUA